UACGGAGGGUGCAAGCGUUAUCCGGAUUCACUGGGUUUAAAGGGUGCGUAGGCGGACAGGUAAGUCAGUGGUGAAAUCUCCGAGCUUAACUCGGAAACUGCCGUUGAUACUAUUUGUCUUGAAUAUUGUGGAGGUAAGCGGAAUAUGUCAUGUAGCGGUGAAAUGCUUAGAUAUGACAUAGAACACCAAUUGCGAAGACAGCUUACUACACAAUUAUUGACGCUGAGGCACGAAAGCGUGGGGAUCAAACAGG
rnacentral:rRNA from 1 species